CCUUUGUAAUCUAUUUAAAGCCAUCCCAGAGCGAUCUUUUAACCCAAAGCGGAACUGCAGCCAAUUAGCCGUUCAAUCAGACUGUUUGCAUCCACAGAGCAGGUGCUCCGGCACUCCUACCUCUGCUCAUGUCCAGUCUGUCACUCAAUCCAAGAUCAUUAGGACAAUAAAUGUACAUAUGUCAUAUUCCAGUUUCCCCAUCUGCCAAAAAAAUAAAGUAAAAAUAAAAGACGAAGAAACUAGGCCAUCAUACAUACUAUGUAUACUACUACUGAUAACAAAGGCUGGCUGAUUAAGCCCUGUCCAAAGAUUCAUGAGCAAAAUCAGGAGAGAAGGCACGGGGGGUUUCAAAUUCUGUCAUUGAACUUAACAUUGGUGAAGAGGAGGAGGAAUACACGUAUAGGGGAGUAGAAGAAAGAGGGGGAGCAGAAACGGAAUGGCAACUGAUAUGCUAGUUGGUCGCGCGACUGGCCGGCAACAACAAUGGAUCCAGCCCACAAUCUCCUCCGCUCCUAAUCAAUCUCCCAAUCGCUCCGCACUGCUCCCCAUAAGCGCCAGAAAACAAAUUUGUUCUUCUUCGUGCGCCACUAGACCCGCUAAGAAAGUGUACCAAAGGGGCGGCGAAUGGAUGGAGAAUGGCGAACGAGAGAGGAAAACAUUUACCGCUAAACCGUUAAAUUAAGUAACGCCCACACCCACACGCCCCAACCGACAGGUGGCGUUGCGAAUGGUGUUCAAAAUAUCUGGAAAUAAAGGAAGGAAUAAUCAACUUAAUGGAAAGUUGUACUUUA